rnacentral:rRNA from 1 species
AGAUUGAACGCUGGCGGCAUGCCUUACACAUGCAAGUCGAACGGUAGAGUAGCAAUACUUGAGAGUGGCGAACGGGUGAGUAAUAUAUCGGAACGUGCCCAGUCGUGGGGGAUAACGUAGAGAAAUUUACGCUAAUACCGCAUACGAUCUAAGGAUGAAAGCGGGGGACCGUAAGGCCUCGCGCGAUUGGAGCGGCUGAUAUCAGAUUAGGUUGUUGGUGAGGUAAAAGCUCACCAAGCCGACGAUCUGUAGCUGGUUUGAGAGAACGACCAGCCACACUGGGACUGAGACACGGCCCAGACUCCUACGGGAGGCAGCAGUGGGGAAUUUGGACAAUGGGCGAAAGCCUGAUCCAGCAAUGCCGCGUGCAGGAAGAAGGCCUUCGGGUUGUAAACUGCUUUUGUACGGAACGAAACGGUCUGCUUUAAUACGAGUGGCUAAUGACGGUACCGUAAGAAUAAGCACCGGCUAACUACGUGCCAGCAGCCGCGGUAA